rnacentral:lncRNA from 1 species
AUGUAAUGCAAAAUGGAGUGUUGCAUGUGUGAGGCUAAACCCCAUUGAAGACUGGGUCACAUUUAAGGUUCUGACACCCUGAACCACCUCACUCGCAGUGCUGACCUGAAGUCGGAACACAGGGGGCUGCAUACUUACCCCCUGCUUAGCAUGGAUUACUUACUUAAAACCUCUAGGUGCAUCCAUGACCAAACUGACGUUUUCUCGUCAAAAUGUGAUUGCAACAUUAGUUUUCAUAUGAUCCUGAUAUAAUCACUUCUGCUUUGGGGGAAAAAAGUGCAUUCAUGCCCAAACUGACAUUUUCUCAACAAGAUGACCAAAGAUGCUGAGAAUGCACAAUCAAGAUUUCCAAACAAUGUUGAACGAGGUACUGUUUGGACUGGUAGCAUUUAAAAAUCAGUCAUAGAUGGCCAAUUAGGAGGGAACCACAAUACCCGAUGGUGCAACCACCCUUGGAGUUGAAUUUCUGGCUACAUCUUAUCAGCACUGGAUUAAAAAUAGAUACAUGCUGCUUGGCACUAAUUUAAUAGUCCACACAUGCCACAUCCCAAUGCACUACCUGUAUGAUGUGGUUAACAAUGUGUAGUUACAGACAAAAUGUAUACUUGAGACCAUAAGCAUAUAUUUGGGAGAGGAUUUUUUGUUUACCACUCAUCAAAGUUUUAUCAGAUAUGUCAGUUGUGCUGUCACAGAAAGUCUCGAAAAACAUGUAGUAGAAUUUAAAAACAUGCAAAUCUGAAAAUUGUGAAAAUAGCUAGAAAACAGUUACCUAGGACUGUGCAUGGGUUAGAAUAAUGACAUUAUAAAUAAUGGUGUUCAUUUCACCCAAGCAGGAUUGAAAUGGCAGACUAUGCAAAAUGGGUGGUUGCCCACCCAGUAUGUGCCAGUUGGACCACAGGAGGCUUCCGGAUGAACCAGGUUUAUCUCCUCAGCAGCUGCUCAGCAACUAUCAGAUCCAGGUCAGCGUAAGGAGCUAUCGAUGUAAGCACUUCGGAGUUCUUCCCCAACGGGACCACGAAACCUCCCUCGGGCAAGCCUCGGUGUUGGAUGGAUACCUGACUGUUCUGUCCAAUAAACAUCUCUUAUAACCAAGUCAGUGUCUGCGAAUAUUCCUUCCUCAUCAGCACCUCUUGACUACCACCAGAAGAAAUUUACAACACCUGCUGAUGUGUUUCUUGAACAUAAAAAUUAUCUAAUUAUCUGACGCGUAUAUAAAUUUCAG